rnacentral:rRNA from 1 species
CGCCCUUUGGGGGAAAGAUUUAUCGGAGAAGGAUCGGCCCGCGUUGGAUUAGGUAGUUGGUGGGGUAAUGGCCCACCAAGCCGACGAUCCAUAGCUGGUUUGAGAGGAUGAUCAGCCACACUGGGACUGAGACACGGCCCAGACUCCUACGGGAGGCAGCAGUGGGGAAUCUUAGACAAUGGGGGCAACCCUGAUCUAGCCAUGCCGCGUGAGUGAUGAAGGCCUUAGGGUUGUAAAGCUCUUUCAGCUGGGAAGAUAAUGACGGUACCAGCAGAAGAAGCCCCGGCUAACUCCGUGCCAGCAGCCGCGGUAAUACGGAGGGGGCUAGCGUUGUUCGGAAUUACUGGGCGUAAAGCGCACGUAGGCGGACUGGAAAGUCAGAGGUGAAAUCCCAGGGCUCAACCUUGGAACUGCCUUUGAAACUAUCAGUCUGGAGUUCGAGAGAGGUGAGUGGAAUUCCGAGUGUAGAGGUGAAAUUCGUAGAUAUUCGGAGGAACACCA